UACGUAGGGUGCGAGCGUUAAUCGGAAUUACUGGGCGUAAAGCGUGCGUAGGCGGUUCGCUGUGUCCGAUGUGAAAGCCCCGGGCUUAACCUGGGAAUGGCAUUGGAAACUGGCGGGCUUGAGUGCGGCAGAGGGGGGUGGAAUUCCGCGUGUAGCAGUGAAAUGCGUAGAGAUGCGGAGGAACACCGAUGGCGAAGGCAGGCCCCUGGGGCGGCACUGGCGCUCAGGCACGAAAGCGUGGGGAGCAAACAGG
rnacentral:rRNA from 1 species